rnacentral:rRNA from 1 species
UACGUAGGUGGCAAGCGUUAUCCGGAAUUAUUGGGCGUAAAGAGGGAGCAGGCGGCAUGAUAUGUUUGAAGUGAAAGCGUGGGGCUCAACCCCAUACAGCUUCGAAGACUGUCAAGCUAGAGUACGAGAGAAGUGAACGGAACUCCAUGUGUAGCGGUGAAAUGCGUAGAUAUAUGGAAGAACGCCAGUGGCGAAGGCGGUUCACUAGCUCGAAACUGACGCUCAGUCCCGAAAGCGUGGGUAGCUAAUA